CGCCUGUUUAUCAAAAACAUCUUUUCUUGUUAGUUUCUGAAGUAUGGCCUGCCCGCCGACGUAUUUUGAGUUGAAGGGCCGCGGUAUUUUGACCGUGCAAAGGUAGCAUAGUCAUUAGUUCUUUAAUUGUGAUCUGGUAUGAAUGGCUUGACGAGACAUGGGCUGUCUUGGGUGUAGAAUUUGUUGUUGAAUUUGGAGUUUAAGUUAAAAUUCUUAGAUGUUUUUAUGGGACGAGAAGACCCUAUAGAGUUUGACAUUUGAUUGCGUAUUUCUUGUUGUUUGUUUUGAAUUUUUGUGCAUCUCUUGUUUUGUAGGGGUGAUGGGAGGAAUUUAUUUAACUCCUCUUUUAUGUGGUAUAUUGAUUUGUAAUUGUUUUGAUCCAUUUAUUUUGAUUGUAAGAUUAAAAUACCUUAGGGAUAACAGCGUAA
rnacentral:rRNA from 1 species